rnacentral:piRNA from 1 species
UUAUUCUGUUUUAGGUGACUUGGUCCUAAU